AUGCUGCCUAUCGAUUUGCUACCCAAAUUUGAAAAGCUGUAUGUCCUUGGUAACAACUUAUUACACACACCAUUUAUAUCUUUUGUAUCCACUGACAUCUUUGUCACUAAUGCCACCUAUUAUUUUCUUUAUAUCAAGGAAUCAACAACAUAUGCAUGGAAAUAUUCACAGUAUAUGCUGAUGUACAUCAAAUUUCUCCUUCGUCCAUGGUGUUGUAAAUCAAGAAAAGAAAUAUUCAUGCAGCCAUAUCAACAGCCAACUGCCCCUUCUCAAAUCAUGUUGUAUUUAUUGACUUCUCACAUUUUAAGUCCAUUUUCUGGAAGUUAA
rnacentral:rRNA from 1 species